UUGAAAGCCAGAUUGACUGACUCUGUUCAGAGAGACAGUCCAGGACUUCAUUUGUUCAUGUUAAAGCUAUUUAGUCAAGAAGGGCAAUGUUGACACCAUCAGUUGAUUACCAGGAAAGAACCUUGAGUUAGAGCUCCCAAGAAACCCAAGUUCACGUGUGAAAAUGGAAAAAUAUUCUCACCUAGAACACAGGGAAGUCUUGAGAAGUUACUGGCCUGUACCUGUGGAAUAUGCAAGAUGGAAAGAUGCCCAAGAAGCCCUGAUGGCCAGAAGGUGUCCUGAAGCUGGAUCUACAGGCAGCUAUGACCUGGAAACCAAAUUCAGAUCCUCUAGAAGCGCAGCAAGCUCCUUCCCCUGCAGAGCCACCACUGCAGCCCCCUUAACCACGUCUGUUCUCAUUCAACACCAUCACUAACAUUCAAAGAAAUCUAUUCAUUUGUCAUUUCUUUCCAUUGCUGAAUGAGACAAUGUAAUAAUAAUUUUAGAGAAACAAGAUAAAAGUCUAUAUUA